rnacentral:rRNA from 1 species
UACAGAGGUCUCAAGCGUUGUUCGGAUUCAUUGGGCGUAAAGGGUGCGUAGGUGGCGCUGUAAGUCAGGUGUGAAAUUUCGGAGCUCAACUCCGAAACUGCAUUUGAUACUGCGGUGCUUGAGGACUGGAGAGGAGAUUGGAAUUCACGGUGUAGCAGUGAAAUGCGUAGAUAUCGGAAGGAACACCUGUGGCGAAAGCGGCUCACUGGACCAUUACUGACGCUGAGGCACGAAAGCUAGGGGAGCAAACAGG